UAGGCAUGCAAGUCGGACGGUAGGGCUUUAUCGUAAGAUAGAGUUUGAGAGUGGCGAACGGGUGAGUAACACGUAGGAAUCUACCCUUAAGACGGGGACAACCCAGGGAAACUUGGGCUAAUACCGGAUGAGAGUGCGAGAGAUUGCAUUUAAAAGGAUGGCGAAAGUUGUCGCUUAGGGAUGAGCCUGCGGUCUAUUAGUUAGUUGGUGAGGUAAGAGCUCACCAAGGCGAUGAUAGAUAGGCGGCCUUAACGGGUGGUCGCCCACACUGGGAUUGAGAUACGGCCCAGACUCCUACGGGAGGCAGCAGUCGAGAAUAGUCUACAAUGGCCGGAAGGCUGAUAGUGCGACGCCGCGUGAACGAGGGAGCCCUUCGGGGUGUAAAGUUCUUUUCUAUACGAGCAGUGCUAUAUAUAUGGAUAGUAUAUAUAGAGGGAUAGUAGUAUAGGAAUAAGCAACGGCUAACUCCGUGCCAGCAGCCGCGGUAACACGGGGGUUGCGAGCGUUGUCCGGAAUUACUAGGCGUAAAGGGCAGGUAGGCGGAUCUACGAGUUUUUUGUUAAAGGCUACGGCUCAACUGUAGUAGAGCAGGAGAUACUGUAGGUCUGGAAUGCGGUAGGGGAAGACAGAAUUCCUGGUGUAGCGGUGGAAUGCGCAGAGAUCAGGAGGAAUACCGAAGGCGAAGGCAGUCUUCUAGGCCGUAAUUGACGCUUAACUGCGAAGGUGUGGGGAUCAAACAGGAUUAGAUACCCUGGUAGUCCACACAGUAAACGAUAAUCACUAGAUGUCGGGUUCUAGAUGGAUUCGGUGUCGGAGCCAACGCGAUAAGUGAUUCGCCUGGGGAGUACGAUCGCAAGGUUGAAACUCAAAGGAAUUGACGG
rnacentral:rRNA from 1 species